UUUCCUAAAGGAAGGACAGGUUCUACCACCGCAGCUUUCCUUCUUAAGAGGGAAAGAUCAAGGCUUACAUGAGAGCUACAAGCUACAACUUUAAAUGAGAAUUAACUCUUACAGCAGUUGCUGUGCUGCCUUCUUGUCUAUGGUCCUGAGAUAGGUGCAAGACGUGCCAAACUAGAAAAUACAGUUCUUCUACACAUAGGUCCUGUCCACAUUUCUUGCUUUCCAACUUGCAGUCCUGUUUUCACACAGAAAGCAGUCAGUCACCAAAUGAUGGUAUUUUUUUUUUUUAGGAUUGGGUAAUAGAGGAGAUUUCUAGAAUUGGAAUUGCAGAAUUGAGUACCACACACUGUGAUGUAGCUUCUGCCACAAAAACACGGAAUCCAUCUAUUUGCACAUAGCCUUCUGAUGGCCAUAUUGACGUGAGUGAGACAAGGUUCUGCCCUCUAAGCAGCAGCCUAACACUUACCAGUGCUACAGCUUAGUUCCCUCCUGAGGGCUGCCGUUAACACUUUGGACAGCGAGUCAAAACAACCCUCUCUGCUGGAAGGGAAGUUUGAAUCCUAAAGAGGCUGCUGGGAAGUUUGGUUCAGCCACCAGUAUCAGGACCAUCUAAACAAGACAGAUGUAGGCACUACUGAGGCAGCAGCUGAAGCCUGAACACUGGAAGGCACUCAGGAGUGGGGGUGGAAGGGAAAAGAGGGAGAAGAGAAGAGGAAGCCAUUUGGCUAUAAAAAGGAUCUUUCUUUCCUGUUGAAAUGCAACGGUAAAGAGUGUCAAAAUGGCUUAAGGGUGGGGAGGUCAAACAUGUUUUGAGAUGUUAAAAAACUCUUUAAGCUCUGUCAGAAAAGACUGAAAAAAAUCUUAAGGUAGGUUUUUGUUCUUCUCAGAA